GAGAGACCCAGGAGGCCUCUGGGAAGGGAAGGGAAGGUUGCUGAGGAAGGAAGUCUGCACUUGGGUCCAGCCCUGCCUCUGGCACCAGCCCCACUGGGCUAGGGUCCCAGGGAUUUAUUGACUAAUCCUCAAAUGAUACACUCUCCCUGAUUUAUUCUCUCUCCCGCUUUGCGUUCUCACAAGAUCCCAUUGUCUCCGGACACCGCUGGCCCAGGGCCUCCACCUCGGGGCCUGCAGCCUCUCAUCCACUUCCGGGGGUGGGAGGAAUGGACGCUCUCUGCCGCCAAGCACCACGACCCUCCCCUGUCCUCUCCCGGCCCCAGGGUCAAGCUGCCAGGCCACCAGGCAGUGCCAGGUACGAGGACGGCAGCACCCAGCCAAUCGGAGGAGAAGGCGCCCCUGUGUGCCCCCCGACACCUCCACUCAGCGAAACCUUCCAGCCUUCAAGUCUGUCUUGACUGCGCCCAUGGAGCCAUUCCUGAGCUUGUUCAACGGGGUCCAGGCCUCACAAGGAAAGGCACUGAGAGCUGCCCUUGCAAACCACCUGAGAAGAAGAAGAAGUCAGAGAAGGACAGCUCUCUCUGGAUAGAAUGCAAGAAAACCCCGCAUCCCCCAUUCACGGAAACGCAUGAUUUCUGUGGCUGUCACUGGCACUCUGGCAGCGAGACACUUCAAGGCACUCCGACGACUUGGAGGAGGAUGGCAGAAACGGCCAAGACCUUUGGGGUCCAGCAGCCACACUCCGCUCUCCCCGCCCCGGCGAGACCCUGGCAGGAGUUGAGGAGUCACUCACCCACAACAAACAGUUAAAAGGAAGAAAGCGGGUCUGGCGAUAUCAAUGCACUUUGAUAACAAUAAACUCUGCUUUUAAUUUAUGCUAAUGUGUAGGGCUGUGGUGACAGUAAGAACUAAAUUACAGAGUGGCUUUCGAGCUGGUAAUUAUCCCUCCAUUUUUCGCUGCUCUGGAAGAUGGACACACAAUUAUGCUCUCUUGCUGUAUAUUAAUACAGAUUCUUGACAUCUUCAGCAGACCUGGAGCUGUCAUCGAGCUUUUUGUCUCCUUUAAUUGAAAAUUAAUGGUUACUGGGUUGCCACGGAAACAGAGGCCACGGACGCCAAUGGCGCUCACGUCUCACCGCGG
rnacentral:lncRNA from 1 species